rnacentral:sRNA from 1 species
AUACUGCUUUAAAUAUCAUGAUACCAUGAACUCUAAAGAAUUGAAAAGUGCUUGUGAGUUGGUUAUCAAGGGGGAGGAUAUACCAAAUGGCCAUUUUGUUCAAUAUGUGUUCUAGAAAUGAAAAGCCAUACUAAGAUACUGUCUUGGUCCAAAAUCUAUGUAAAAUUUGUUUUGAAAUGUCUUUCAAAAAUAUUCCCUUUUGAAAAUUAUAUCAGUAAGAAUAUUUAUUAAACAUCAGGUCUAAAUUAUUUUUACUCCAAAGUAAAACAUGCAUGUCCUUCUUAAUAGGCCACAUUCAAAGGAUGGAUGGAUAUAAUGUAUGCAGCAGUUGAUUCCAGAAAUGUGGAACUCCAGCCUAAGUAUGAAGAAAGUCUGUACAUGUAUCUUUACUUUGUUAUUUUCAUCAUCUUUGGGUCCUUCUUCACCUUGAACCUGUUUAUUGGUGUCAUCAUAGAUAAUUUCAACCAGCAGAAAAAGAAGUUUGGAGGUCAAGACAUCUUUAUGACAGAAGAACAGAAGAAAUACUAUAAUGCAAUGAAAAAAUU